AGGGUUUGAUCAUGGCUCAGAUUGAACGCUGGCGGCAGGCCUAACACAUGCAAGUCGAGCGGUAGAGAGAAGCUUGCUUCUCUUGAGAGCGGCGGACGGGUGAGUAAUGCCUAGGAAUCUGCCUGGUAGUGGGGGAUAACGUUCGGAAACGGACGCUAAUACCGCAUACGUCCUACGGGAGAAAGCAGGGGACCUUCGGGCCUUGCGCUAUCAGAUGAGCCUAGGUCGGAUUAGCUAGUUGGUGAGGUAAUGGCUCACCAAGGCGACGAUCCGUAACUGGUCUGAGAGGAUGAUCAGUCACACUGGAACUGAGACACGGUCCAGACUCCUACGGGAGGCAGCAGUGGGGAAUAUUGGACAAUGGGCGAAAGCCUGAUCCAGCCAUGCCGCGUGUGUGAAGAAGGUCUUCGGAUUGUAAAGCACUUUAAGUUGGGAGGAAGGGUUGUAGAUUAAUACUCUGCAAUUUUGACGUUACCGACAGAAUAAGCACCGGCUAACUCUGUGCCAGCAGCCGCGGUAAUACAGAGGGUGCAAGCGUUAAUCGGAAUUACUGGGCGUAAAGCGCGCGUAGGUGGUUUGUUAAGUUGGAUGUGAAAUCCCCGGGCUCAACCUGGGAACUGCAUUCAAAACUGACUGACUAGAGUAUGGUAGAGGGUGGUGGAAUUUCCUGUGUAGCGGUGAAAUGCGUAGAUAUAGGAAGGAACACCAGUGGCGAAAGGCGACCACCUGGACUAAUACUGACACUGAGGUGCGAAAGCGUGGGGAGCAAACAGGAUUAGAUACCCUGUAGUCCACGCCGUAACGAUGUCAACUAGCCGUUGGAAGCCUUGAGCUUUUAGUGGCGCAGCUAACGCAUUAAGUUGACCGCCUGGGGAGUACGGGCCGCAAGGUUAAAAC
rnacentral:rRNA from 1 species